UAGAUGGGGAAGUGCGGUGAAAAUCUGCCACUGUGUCGCAACCGUAACAGUCGGAAUGCCAGCCGGG
rnacentral:ncRNA from 1 species